AUUGAACGCUGGCGGCAUGCCUAACACAUGCAAGUCGAACGGGGCAGCAAUGCCUAGUGGCGGACGGGUGAGGAAUACGUAGGAAUCUGCCCUUAAGUGGGGGAUAACCAGGGGAAACCCUGACUAAUACCGCAUGAUCUCUUCGGAGCAAAGAGGGGGACCGCAAGGCCUCUCGCUUCUGGAUGAGCCUACGUCUGAUUAGCUAGUUGGUAGGGUAAAGGCCUACCAAGGCGACGAUCAGUAACUGGUCUGAGAGGAUGAUCAGUCACACCGGAACUGAGACACGGUCCGGACUCCUACGGGAGGCAGCAGUGGGGAAUAUUGGACAAUGGGCGCAAGCCUGAUCCAGCAAUGCCGCGUGUGAAGAAGGCCUUCGGGUUGUAAAGCACUUUAGCCUGGAAAGAAAAAACUUUGGUUAACACCCAAAGUCUUGACGGUACCAGGAGAAUAAGCACCGGCUAACUCUGUGCCAGCCGCCGCAGUAACAC
rnacentral:rRNA from 1 species